ACACUCCUGCGGGAGGCAGCAGUGGGGAAUAUUGCACAAUGGGCGCAAGCCUGAUGCAGCCAUGCCGCGUGUAUGAAGAAGGCCUUCGGGUUGUAAAGUACUUUCAGCGGGGAGGAAGGUGUUGAGGUUAAUAACCUCAGCAAUUGACGUUACCCGCAGAAGAAGCACCGGCUAACUCCGUGCCAGCAGCCGCGGUAAUACGGAGGGUGCAAGCGUUAAUCGGAAUUACUGGGCGUAAAGCGCACGCAGGCGGUCUGUCAAGUCGGAUGUGAAAUCCCCGGGCUCAACCUGGGAACUGCAUUCGAAACUGGCAGGCUAGAGUCUUGUAGAGGGGGGUAGAAUUCCAGGUGUAGCGGUGAAAUGCGUAGAGAUCUGGAGGAAUACCGGUGGCGAAGGCGGCCCCCUGGACAAAGACUGACGCUCAGGUGCGAAAGCGUGGGGAGCAAACAGGAUUAGAAACCCCGGUAGUCCCAUGAU
rnacentral:rRNA from 1 species